GUGUGUUAUGUAGUAGUAGACGAUAAGUUAAUAUAUUAUGUAUUUGUUUUUUUCAUUAAUGUGGUGUUUUGUGUAUAAUAGUACUUAUUAGUGGUAAAGUGAGCCUACUAAGAUAAUAUAUUCUCUAUUUAUUUUUUCAAUAAUGUGGUGUUGUGUGUAUAAUAGUACUUGUUAGUGGUGAAGUGAACCUCUAAUGUAAAGCAUAUUAAAUUCAAUAAUGUUGCAUUUAGGCAUUUGUUG
rnacentral:lncRNA from 1 species